UUCCAACAUCACAGAUGUGCAUCACCAGAUUGAGGUCGUCUUUCGACUGAUUCAGACCAGGGUGCUGAUUUAAUGCGAACAUCCUGCACAUGUAAAAGGCUUCAGCUGGCCGCGAAGCGGCAUCGCUUGCACCGCUUGCACCCUUUAAGAUCAACGAACGAGAAAAUAAAUCAAGUAAAGAGUUGAUCCGCUGUCCUCUCAUACAGCCGGAUCACAAUCCCACAAACACCGGCCUUUACGGAGACCGGGUAGAUAAAAAGGAAAGUGGUCUUUAUAAGCAUUGACAAAAAAAAAGCUUAAUUUAUAAAUCUAAAAGUUCAGUGUUGUGAGGAAAAACAAAAGCAUCAGAGAAAAACGCCUCAGGACUCGUGCAGCGUCUACAGUCACCAGUCCGUGUAUUGCCUUUAAACCUACAAUUCAUAACAAGUGAC
ensembl:lncRNA